UUAUUUGAGAGUUUGAUCCUGGCUCAGGAUGAACGCUGGCGGCGUGCCUAAUACAUGCAAGUCGAGCGAAUGGAUUAAGAGCUUGCUCUUAUGAAGUUAGCGGCGGACGGGUGAGUAACACGUGGGUAACCUGCCCAUAAGACUGGGAUAACUCCGGGAAACCGGGGCUAAUACCGGAUAACAUUUUGAACCGCAUGGUUCGAAAUUGAAAGGCGGCUUCGGCUGUCACUUAUGGAUGGACCCGCGUCGCAUUAGCUAGUUGGUGAGGUAACGGCUCACCAAGGCAACGAUGCGUAGCCGACCUGAGAGGGUGAUCGGCCACACUGGGACUGAGACACGGCCCAGACUCCUACGGGAGGCAGCAGUAGGGAAUCUUCCGCAAUGGACGAAAGUCUGACGGAGCAACGCCGCGUGAGUGAUGAAGGCUUUCGGGUCGUAAAACUCUGUUGUUAGGGAAGAACAAGUGCUAGUUGAA
rnacentral:rRNA from 1 species